rnacentral:lncRNA from 1 species
AGAGGAAGAAUUCUACCUGAGUUUGCCAUAAAGUGCCUGCCCUCUAGCCUCUACUCUUCCAGUUGCGGCUUAUUGCAUCACAGUAAUUGCUGUACGAAGGUCAGAAUCGCUACCUAUUGUCCAAAGCAGUCGUAAGAAGAGGUCCCAAUCCCCCACUCUUUCCGCCCUAAUGGAGGUCUCCAGUUUCGGUGCUGGAAGCCCAGGAAGCACACAUCAAGGCUCCCUUGCCAGCAGGGUGCUGCCAAUAAAAGGUAGUCACGUGGAAUUUGGAAUGUGGAAAGGAGGUAGAAGUCAUCCUUUCCUCCCCUGUAGCAGCAGGCGUGCAGGCUCUGGUGGUCAGCUGGACUCCAUACUCCCCCACCAGUCACCAGCCUGGGGACCGUGGGGCUGCAAGGACCUCAGCAGCGGUGUCCCAAGUUUCCUGACUUCUUCCAUCCUCUGGAAAUCAGCUGUGGUAAAGUAGCCUGAAAGCCAGUGGUACAACCCCCUCCCCACAACCUUCACCACCUCUAGCCCCUCCAAUGAAAAGCACUAAUUGCCUAUAUACAACCCCUUUUUGUUUGAAAUAUCUAGAGUAAUUUCUGUUUUCCUAUCUGGGGUAGUGUAACGUAAGAAGAAAUAUACAUUUGGUCUCUGCCCCCGGUUCCUAACACAAAGCUCCUAAAACCCUUGGAAAUUCCUGAAAGAUGGGGGUGCUAGGAGCAUUGUCUUUUUUUUUUUUUAAAUUUAUCAUUUUUCUUUUCUCCCAGGUGUUUUUUCCUUUUUUUUUUUUUUAACUUUUAUUUUAGAUUAGGGGAUACAUGUGAACGUUUGUUAUAUAGCUAAACUUGUGUCACAUGGGUUUGUUGUACAGAUUAUUUCGUCACCCAGGCACUAGGCCUAAUACCCGAUAGUUUUUUUCUUUUUUUUUUUUGAGAUAGAGUCUCGCUCUGUUGCCCAGGCUAGAGGCACGAUCUCGGCUCACUGCAACUUCCGCCUCCCAGGUUUACGCCAUUCUUCUGCCUCAGCCUCCUGAGUAGCUGGGACUGCAGGUGCCUGCCACCACGUCCAGCUAAUUUUUUAUGUUUAGUAGAGAUGGGGUUUCACCAUCUUGGCCAGGCUGGUCUCGAACUCCUGACCUUGCGAUCCACCCACCUCGGCCUCCCAAAGUGCUGGGAUUACAGGCGUGAGCCACCGUGCCUGGCCAGUACCCAGUAGUUUUUUUGGCUCCUCUCCCUCCUCCCACCCUUCACCCUCAGGUAGGGCCCAGUGUCUGUUGUUCCCUUCUUUGUGUUUAUGAGUUCUCAUCAUUUAGCUCCCACUUAUAAGUGAGAACGUGUGGUGUUUGGUUUUCUGUUCCUUUCUUAGUUUGCUGAGGAUAAUGGCCUCAAGAUCCAUCUGUGUUCCUACAAAAGAGAUGAUCUUGUUCUUUUUUAUGAUUGCACAUCUUUUGUUCUAACGUUUGGUCCUUCACCUUGGUUCCUGACACAAGGAUUCCUAAAUCCCUUGGAAUUUUCUGCAUGAUAGGAGCGUCCUUUGUUCUCAUGAGGUGACUCUUGGUGGGCUCCUUAUUUGGGGACUGGUCACCAAAAAUACCUAACUAUGGUUGGAAGCUUAGUGCUUUCAGCCCCAUUCCCCAUCCUCUGGGGUGGGGAGCAGAGCUGGAGCUCGAUCAUGCCUGCGUGACAAAGCCUCCAGAAAAAUCCUUGAAAGACAGGACAUGGAGAGCUGCUGGGUUGGCGAACACAUCCAUGUGCCGGGAGGAUGGUGCACCCCAACUCCACAAGGACCCUUCCAGACCUCACCCUGUGUAUCUCUUCAUCUGGCUGUUCAUUUGUAUCCUUUAAAAUAUCCUUUGUAAUAAAUCAGCAAUAGU